UUGUUGGGUUAAUUUGCAUGCUCUCCCGAUUGGCUGGUAAGUGUAGCGGAGGGACGGUCAAUUUACAUGUUUCUCUUUUAUUAUAUAGGAU